CAGUAGCCGCGGUAAUACGGAGGGGGCUAGCGUUGUUCGGAAUUACUGGGCGUAAAGCGCACGUAGGCGGCUUGGUAAGUUAGAGGUGAAAGCCCGGAGCUCAACUCCGGAAUUGCCUUUAAGACUGCCGAGCUAGCAGGUGAGAGAGGUAAGUGGAAUUCCGAGUGUAGAGGUGAAAUUCGUAGAUAUUCGGAAGAACACCAGUGGCGAAGGCGGCUUACUGGCUCAUACUGGACGCUGAGGUGCGAAAGCGUGGGGAGCAAACAGGAUUAGAUACCCGCGUAGUCCCUGUCUCUUAUAA
rnacentral:rRNA from 1 species